GAAUCUUGGGCAAUGGGCGAAAGCCUGACCCAGCGACGCCGCGUGGGGGAGGAAGUCCUUCGGGACGUAAACCCUACAAGUGAGGGACGAAUAAGGCCAGGUUAAUACCCUGGUUGAUGACGGUACCUCAUGUAAGCCCCGGCUAACUACGUGCCAGCAGCCGCGGUAAUACGUAGGGGGUGAGCGUUGUCCGGAAUUACUGGGCGUAAAGCGCGCGUAGGCGGCUUGGUAAGUCGGUUGUGGAAGCCCCGGGCUCAACUCGGGAAUGGCGACCGAAACUGCCAGGCUCGAGUGCGGUAGGGGGUGCUGGAAUUCCUGGUGUAGCGGUGAAAUGCAUAGAUAUCAGGAGGAACACCGGUGGCGAAGGCGGGCACCUGGGCCGCCACUGACGCUGAGGCGCGAAAGCUAGGGGAGCAAACCGG
rnacentral:rRNA from 1 species